UACGUAGGGGGCUAGCGUUGUUCGGAUUUACUGGGCGUAAAGGGCGCGUAGGCGGCGCUUCAAGUCGCGUGUGAAAGCCCCGGGCUCAACCUGGGAGGUGCGCGCGAGACUGUGGUGCUGGAGUUCGGGAGAGGAGCGUGGAAUUCCCAGUGUAGAGGUGAAAUUCGUAGAUAUUGGGAAGAACACCGGUGGCGAAGGCGGCGCUCUGGACCGAGACUGACGCGUGAGG
rnacentral:rRNA from 1 species